UUGAAAUGAUGAUAGGUAAUUACCGUACGAUAUCUGUGAUUAAAAACCCCAUGGCUGCAAUUAUUGCAACUGAUGC
rnacentral:snoRNA from 1 species